CGUGACGGCGCGAGCAGGUGCGAAAGCAGGUCAUAGUGAUCCGGUGGUUCUGAAUGGAAGGGCCAUCGCUCAACGGAUAAAAGGUACUCCGGGGAUAACAGGCUGAUACCGCCCAAGAGUUCAUAUCGACGGCGGUGUUUGGCACCUCGAUGUCGGCUCAUCACAUCCUGGGGCUGAAGUAGGUCCCAAGGGUAUGGCUGUUCGCCAUUUAAAGUGGUACGCGAGCUGGGUUUAGAACGUCGUGAGACAGUUCGGUCCCUA
rnacentral:rRNA from 1 species